ACCGUCAAUUCAUUUGAGUUUUAGUCUUGCGACCGUAGUCCUCAGGCGGCACACUUAACGCGUUAGCUUGGGCCCUGAAGGGGUCGAAUCCUCCAAGACCUAGUGUGCACCGUUUAGGGCAUGGACUACAGGGGUAUCUAAUCCCUUUUGCUCCCCAUGCUUUCGUGCCUGAGUGUCAGCAAUUGUCCAGGUAGUCGCCUUCGCCUCUGGUGUUCCUCACGAUAUCUACGCAUUUCACUGCUACACCGUGAAUUCCACUACCCUCUCCAAUGCUCUAGUCAUGCAGUUUCAGACGCAGUUCCGGGGUUAAGCCCCGGGAUUUCACAUCUGACACACAUGACCACCUGCGCACCCUUUACGCCCAGUGAAUCCGAAUAACGCUUGGACCCUACGUAUUACC
rnacentral:misc_RNA from 1 species